CCCCUAGAUGUUCUGGGCCGCACGCGCGCUACACUGAACAGUUCAACAAGUCUUAACCUUGGCCGAUAGGUCUGGGUAAUCUUUGAACGCUGUUCGUGAUUGGGAUAGACCUUUGCAAUUAUGGGUCUUCAACGAGGAAUUCCUAGUAAACGCAAGUCAUCAGCUUGCAUUGAUUACGUCCCUGCCCUUUGUACACACCGCCCGUCGCACCUACCGAUUGAAUGGUCCGGUGAAGCCUCGGGAUUGUGGCUGGUUUCCUUUAUUGGAGGUCGGUUGCGAGAACUUGUCUAAACCUUAUCAUUUAGAGGAAGGUGAAGUCGUAACA
rnacentral:rRNA from 1 species